GACGGGGUCCAGGCCUCACACUAUACUUGAUUACCAGUAGGUGCAGAAAGGCCCUCCGUUAGGAAGCUAAGCCGGGCUGGGUCUGCUUAGUACGUGGAUGGGAAACUGCUUGGGACUAACAGAUGAUUCAGCUU
rnacentral:rRNA from 1 species